rnacentral:rRNA from 1 species
GGCGGCAGUAGCGCGGUGGUCCCACCUGACCCCAUGCCGAACUCAGAAGUGAAACGCCGUAGCGCCGAUGGUAGUGUGGGGUCUCCCCAUGCGAGAGUAGGGAAC